rnacentral:misc_RNA from 1 species
UUUCCGUAGGUGAACCUGCGGAAGGAUCAUUACUGAGUUUUGAGUGAAGUUGUUCUGGUCUUUCGGGGCAAGUGAACGCUUCUCUCAAUCCAUCUUACACCUGUGCACCUAUCGGGGAAGACUUGGAUUUAAGUUGGGUCACGACGGCGAUCUACAGUCUCCUCUUUAUACCAAAUAACAGUUUUAGAAAGUCUUUUUUGCUUGAUGCAAACUUAAAUAGAUACAACUUUCAGCAACGGAUCUCUUGGCUCUC